GAUGAACGCUGGCGGCGUGCCUAAUACAUGCAAGUCGAGCGAACAGACGAGGAGCUUGCUCCUCUGACGUUAGCGGCGGACGGGUGAGUAACACGUGGAUAACCUACCUAUAAGACUGGGAUAACUUCGGGAAACCGGAGCUAAUACCGGAUAAUAUAUUGAACCGCAUGGUUCAAUAGUGAAAGACGGCUUUGCUGUCACUUAUAGAUGGAUCCGCGCCGCAUUAGCUAGUUGGUAAGGUAACGGCGUACCAAGGCAACGAUGCGUAGCCGACCUGAGAGGGUGAUCGGCCACACGGGAAGUGGGACACGGUCCAGACUCCUACGGGAGGCAGCAGUAGGGAAUCUUCCGCAAUGGGCGAAAGCCUGACGGAGCAACGCCGCGUGAGUGAUGAAGGUCUUCGGAUCGUAAAACUCUGUUAUUAGGGAAGAACAAAUGUGUAAGUAACUAUGCACGUCUUGACGGUACCUAAUCAGAAAGCCCCGGCUAACUACGUG
rnacentral:rRNA from 1 species